UGAUAAUUAGUUUAAAAUAAAACAAAUGAUUUCGACUCAUUAGACUACGACUUACCCCGUAAUUAUCAA